AUUCAUAAUAAGGAAAAAAAGACAAGGGGAAAGCUAUUAGAUUCUCAGUGCUGCUAAACAGGACACACAAGGACACCAUUUUGUGACGAUGAUGGUGCUUUAUGCAGCUUCCACCAUUUACAAGAUUUUCCUGUGGUGUGGAACCUCUGAUGAUAAAGCAAAGGAACUAGAAGCUUAUUCCAGUCAAGAUUUCUGAUUUAUCUUGUGGGUUAUGAUUCUGUAUGGUUUCUUUGGUGCUGCAUUAGACCUGAGCUCUGACUGAAAAUUCUUCCACGCUCACUACAUUCCAAAACUUUAUCUCCAAUAUGAAUUUCCAGAUGCCUCACAAGGUCUGAGCUCCAUCUGAAGGCUUUCCCAUGCUUGUCACAUUUAUAGGGCUUUUCUCCACUAUGAAUUCUAUGAUGUUGAAUAAGGUGUGAGCUCUGA
rnacentral:antisense_RNA from 1 species